CUUGGUCACAAACAAGAAGUCAGGAGAUUAAAAAAGCAGACAGCCUUCCAAAAAUGUCCCAAGGAAAGGAAUUAAGCAUUUCCACAGCAGAUAGCUUAAUCCUUCCGAAUCUGGAAUCUCUCCGACUCUGGCGGGCUCAGGGCUGUUCCUCUGUUCUGAGUGGAGGGGGAAGCCAGCCGACCCUAAAUACCGGCAGCGUGUUAGGUGGGCAGCGUACCAGGUGGGCAGCGCGUCCUUUACCACCACAGCCGUCAAUCGGCCGUUCCAGCACAGCAGGCACAAUGGGCCUCCCUGCUUCCUCAGAGACCUAAAGGAUCUCAAGUGCCGUGCGGUAAGCAGAGCCUUGCUCCAGCAUCAGAAGGAUCUGGGUUGAAUUCCCAAAUCCCCACUCAUUUGUUAGCUGGUGCUCUUUCGGGCCCCAUUAUUUUCUAGCUAUGAAAUGGAGAUAAAUAACAAUCCCGACCCUUACAGAAGUGCCUUGAGAUUUUCAAUGAAACACGACACAGAACACAGCAGCACAGAGCCCGGCCCACCGCAGGCUCCCAAUACCCGUCAGCUGCUCCUACUUGUGGACUCUCCAACUCUUCCGAGGGGCCCUGGCCCCUGAGCCAAAGACUCUGUUGACUUCUGUUCUCCUCCCCCUCGCUCCGCCCAGACUCUGACUUCUGCCUAGACAAAGACGGAUCUUUGUGUCCCCAGAGCCUGGCUUAGUGCCUGACACUUAGAGGGGACUUAAUAAUGCUGGGGAGGAAAAAUAGGGAGUGGGUGCCGGCACUGUGGCAUAGUGGAUAAAGCCGCGCCCUGAGAUGUCAGCAUCCCAAAUGGGCACCGGCUCAAGUCUUGGCUGCUCCACUUGGAUCCAGCUCCCUGCUAAUGUGCCUAGGAAAGGAGUAGAAGAUGGCCCAAGUACUUGAACCCCUGCCCCUACAUGAGAGACCCGGAUGAGGCUCCUGGCUCCUGGCUUCAGAUUGGCCCAGCUGUGCCCAUUGUGGUCAUUUGGGGAGUGAACCAGCAGAUGGAACAUCUCUCUUUCUCUCUCUCUCCCUCUCCCUUCUCCCUGUAACUCUGCCUUUCAAAAUAAAUCUUAAAAAACAAAGGAGGAGGGGAGUGAAAAAGAAAGGAAAGAAACCUAGCAACGAGAUGACUCCUCCAGGGGUGGGGUCCUCAGAGCCUCAUAAGGAGAACCCAGGAGCAACUAUUUGGCACAGCAGUUAAGAUGCCCACGUUCCAGGACAGAGCAGCCAGGGUUCAAGUCUCAGCUCCACUCCGGAUACCAAUUUCCUGCUAAUGCUCACCCUGCGAGGCAGCAGGUGGUGGUGGUUCAAGGAGUUGGGUCCCUGCCACCUGCUUGGGACAACUGGAUUGAGUUCCAGGUUAGUGAUUUCAGCCUGGCCCAUCCCUAAAUAUUGUGGGCAUUUCGAGAGUGAACCAGCAGACAGGAGAUCUACACCUCUACUCCCACUAUUAAAUAAAUAAAUAAACAAACAAACAAAUAAAUAAGUUAAAAAUAAAAGGAAUCCCAGCUUCAGCAGAGGAUAACGAAGUGAAAACCCCUCCGCAGAAGAGGAGGCCAUUGGGAGGAGAGGAAACAUCAGCUUUGUCUCCAUGUCCAAGGCUGGAGUUGCUGUGGGACCGGUUUGCAUGUCAGCAGUCAUGCACCAAGGGAUGCCUGUGUGAACUGAGGGUGCCCUGCAACACAUGCAGAGGGCAGGGCUCACAGGCCACGACGCUGCAGCCUUGGGCAGAAGGCGAAGAUCUGGGACAAAGAAGUUGGGCAGGCCGAAAGGCGCCAGCCUGAAUGCUUCGGAAUGACUGCAGAGACCAGGCUGUCCUGAUUCUAAAAGGAAGGGCGAGGAAAUUCUGCCUGUACCUGCAGAGUGAAAGACACUUUGGAGGCAAAAUGAGCUCACCUAGACCUACCUGGGCAUCAUUGAAGGGAAGGCAUCCCGCGGCAGCCAGGAGGAAGAGGGCACUGUGGAGAGGGAGAUAAAACACGGCGGCUUUACCGUUCAGCAUCAAAUCAUUUCCCAGAGCGUGUGGAGGCUGAAGUGCAAAGACCUCACGAGACCAACCCAGUUCCUCCGUUCAUCCUCUUGAGAACCCCACUCCCUGCAUGCUUUUCAUCAUGUGUGCAUCGCUGACAACCAGACAUUUCCCAGUCAGGGAUCACGUGAGAAGCACGAUUGGCUCACCUGAGAUCCACAGUCUAUGAGACAUCUAGUAAAAUCAGACUGUUUUCAUUUCAACCCCUGAUCCCCAAAAAUGCACGAGUGGAAAACAGGUCAUCAGACCACUAGGAUGCCAGUUACAAAAAUGAUGCCCUGGAAUGUGCACUAAACCCUUUGUACACCUCCUGAGCCCCACCUUCAAGCUUCCUAUCUCCAGUCAUGGGACAGAACGAAUCAUGUGCCUCCUGCUAUGGUGCACUCCGAAGGACACAAUGCCACUCACUCGUGUGCUCCUCCUGCCAACAUGUGGAACCUGAAUUGAAUCAUGAGAGAAUGCUGAGACACAACCAAAUUUAGGGACAGCCCAUAAAACUAUGCACCUCUGCCCUCCACAAAUGUGAAUGCAGUGAAAGAAAUGAAAGACCAAAGAACUCUUCUAGAUGAAAGGCUAAUGAAGAAACAUGGACACUUUAGAAGGAAAAGCGGGGCAGUGUUAGGGUAACUGGCAAAACUUGACCAGGGGCUCAAUGUUUGAUAAAAGUAUUAUAUCAGAUGUUAAUCUUCUAAAUGUAAUCAUUGCACUGUGUUUCUAUACAAGAUUGUUUUUAGGAAACAGACUUGGAAGCAUUCAGGGGUAGGGUCAAGAUCUGCAAUUUAUUCUAAAAUGAUACAUAAAGAAUAAGAGUAAGACUAAUAAUAAAUAUGAGCCUUCCCUCCAUUACUACAGGGCAAUGGAUCUGAGACCCCUCACAGAUACCAAAAUCCACAGAUGCUCAAGUCCCUUAUAUAAAGAAAAUGGUGUAGUAGUUGCGCAUAACCUACACACAUUCUCCUUACACUUUAAAUUAUCUCUAGAUACCCAAUACAAGGCAACUGCUAUGUAAAAAGUUAUUAAAUUAUUUAAGAGAUAAAAUGAAAAAAAUAAGUCAGUUUAAAAGGCAGUUCAGUACAGACGCAAUUUUUUCCUCAAAUAUUUUUGAUCCUCAGUUCAUUGAAUCUGUGGGUGGAGAACCCAGGGAUAUGGAAGACCAACUGGCUUUUCUUAUGUAUGUUGUAUGCUAUUUAUGUAUGUUUAUACAUAUACACACAUAUGGAGUGAACAAGAAAGCCAAUGCAGAAAUGUUAUCAGGGGGUGGAUCUAGUCAACAGUAUAGCAGCCAUUGUAAUUUUAAUUCUUAAAAUUUUUCUAUAGGUACAAAUUUUUUCUCAGAUUUAAAAAAAGUAUAAUUAGCAUCAUCUUUUUUUUUUUUUUAUUUGACAGGUAGAGUUAUAGACAGUGAGAGAGAGACAGACAGAAAGGUCUUCCUUCCAUUGGUUCACUCUCCUAAUGGCCACUAUGGCCAGCACUGAGCCAAUCCGAAGCCAGGAGCUGGGUGCUUCCUCCCCGUCUCCCAUGCAGGUGCAGGGCCCAAGCACUUGGGCCAUCCUCCACUGCCCUCCCGGGCCACAGCAGAGAGCUGGACUGGAAGAGGAGCCACCGGGACUAGUAUCCAGUGCCCCAACCAGGACUAGAACCCGGGAUGCCGGCGCCAUAGGUGGAGGAUUAGCCUCGUGAGCCACGGCGCCGGCCAGCAUCAUCUCUUCUACAUACUGAAAUUUCUACAGAGGAGAUGGGAUGGUGCCUGAGCCUUGCUUUCAAACAACACUGGAAUAUGGGAGAUGGGGCUUCAUUACAUUCUUCCAUCUACUUUUCUGUUUAUUUUGAGAUUUCCACCAAAAAAAACACAUUUAACCUGUUGGAGUGAGGUGGACACUAUGGGAAACGGUGGCUUGAUCAGCAUAGCCCUGACUGUUAAUGAACAACUUAAUACAUUAUCCCUCUUAGUAGUUUUUUUGUCUGUUCUACUUAAUAUGACUGGUUUAGUUCUGUAAUUGAUGCACAGUUAUUCUUAAGUGUUGAAAAUUAACUGAAAUGUGAUCCCUGUUGAACAUGGGAGUGGGAAUGGGAGAGGGAAGAGAUGUAUAAUUUGGGACAUGCUCAGGCUGACUUGCCCCAAGUGGUGGAGUUGGAAGCAUACCAGGGGAUUCCAAUUCAAUCCCAUCGAGGUGGCAUGUACCAAUGCCAUCUCACUGUUCCAGGUGAUCAAUUUCAGUUCACAGUUGGUCAUGGUGGAGGGACUGGGAGUCAAAGGGAGCACAUAGACAAGUCUAGUACCUGCUAACGCUAACCGAUGGAGUAAAUAAAGGGGAGAGUGAUCCAACAUGGGAAGUGAGAUACUCAGCAGACUCAUAGAAUGGCAGAUGUCCUAAAUAGCACUCUGGCCUCAGAAUCAGCCCUAAAGGCAUUCAGAUCUGGCUGAAAAGCCCAUGAGAGUAUUUCAGGCAUGGAAAGCCAAGACACUCUGGCAAAAGAUCUCUGCGAGUGAGAUCCCAGUGGAAAGAACAGGUCAUCAAAGAAGGAGGUACCUUUCUCUGAAGGAAAGAGAGAACCUCCACUUUGAAUAUGACCUUGUCUAAACAAGAUAAGAGUCGGAGAACUCAGAGGGCUUCCACAGCCUUGGAAACUCAUGACUGGAGCAUAGGGAGACUACUGAUGCCAUAGACAGGAGUGUCAAUUGGUAAAGUCAACAACAGGAGUCACUGUGCACUUACUCCUCAUGUAGGAUCUCUAUCCUUAAUGUGCUGUGCAUUGAGAUUUAAUGCUAUAACGAGUACUCAAACAAUAUAUUUCACUUUGUGUUUCUAUGGGGGUGCAAACUGUUGAAAUCCUUACUUAAUGCAUACUAAACUGAUCCUCUGUAAAAAAAAAAAAAGAAAUUAUCAAUUCCCAACUUGACUCUCACUGGGAUUAAACAUGACAAUAGGUCUGAUCUGAUUUCAUCAUCAUUUAAAAAAUCAUCUAUUAUUUUUCACUUUAUGUUUCUGUGUGGGAGCAAACUGUUGAAAUCUUUACUUAAUGUAUGUUAAACUGAUCUUCUGUAUAUAAAGAGAAUCGAAAAUGAAUCCUCAUGUGAAUGGAAGGGGAGAGGGAGUGGGAAAGGGGAGGGAUGCGGGUGGGAGAGACGAUAUGGGGGGGGAAGCCAUUGUAAUCCAUAAGCCGUACUUUGGAAAUUUAUAUUCAUUAAAUAAAAGUUUAAAAAAAAAAAA